AUUAGGGUCGUAAAGGGUACCGGUACGCCGGUUUCGGGUUCGAGUCCUCCCGGGAAACGUACUGAUAGCUCAACUAUUAGGCUUUCGGGGGAUACUGCCAGACUUGGAACCGGGAGAGGUAAGAGGUACUACAGGGGUAGGAGUGAAAUCUUGUAAUCCCUGUGGGACCACCUGUGGCGAAGGCGUCUUACCAGAACGGGUUCGACGGUGAGGGACGAAAGCUGGGGGCACGAACCGGAUUAGAUACCCGGGUAGUCCCAGCCGUAAACGAUGCUCGCUAGGUGUCAGGCAUGGCGCGACCGUGUCUGGUGCCGCAGGGAAGCCGUGAAGCGAGCCACCUGGGAAGUACGGCCGCAAGGCUGAAACUUAAAGGAAUUGGCGGGGGAGCACAACAACGGGUGGAAGCCUGCGGUUUAAUUGGACUCAACGCCGGACAACUCACCGGGGGCGACAGCAAUAUGUAGGCCAAGCUGAAGACUUUGCCUGAAUCGCUGAGAAGUGGUGCAUGG
rnacentral:rRNA from 1 species